AUUGAACGCUGGCGGCAUGCCUUACACAUGCAAGUCGAACGGCAGCGCGGGAGCAAUCCUGGCGGCGAGUGGCGAACGGGUGAGUAAUAUAUCGGAACGUGCCCAGUAGUGGGGGAUAGCCCGGCGAAAGCCGGAUUAAUACCGCAUGAGACCUGAGGGUGAAAGCGGGGGAUCGCAAGACCUCGCGCUAUUGGAGCGGCCGAUAUCAGAUUAGCUAGUUGGUGGGGUAAAGGCCUACCAAGGCAACGAUCUGUAGUUGGUCUGAGAGGACGACCAGCCACACUGGGACUGAGACACGGCCCAGACUCCUACGGGAGGCAGCAGUGGGGAAUUUUGGACAAUGGGCGCAAGCCUGAUCCAGCAAUGCC
rnacentral:rRNA from 1 species